AUAAUUAUAAGCUGGAAGUCUUCGAGCAAGCAAGAUUGGUAAAUGAGAAGAAACUUGAUUUGGGACCAAGUUUGUGGUACUCAACAAGAGAAGAUCAGCAAAUACUGAACCCCUUGCAUUCAAAUCCAAACAUCAGUAACUACAGUUGCACUAUGCAUACUGUGCAGUAGACGACAGAUAUCUUCAAAUAAUUUCAGAAGGCUGAGGGAUGACGAGUGCAGUUUAUGUGAAUUUGUGCCUCUUUUGGGGAACAUGGUGUCCGUUGAAUCACUGCAGUUAUGUUUUGUCAUGAAAACCAAAGAGUACUCCAGAAGGAUUAAUGAUAUAUUGUGAAGAUCAAGUAAGGUUUCUCAAGGGGUGUGCACUAAGAGAUGUGCGUAGACAGACCUGAAUCAUUAUCUAUUAGUUGCCUAGCUUGUCGAAGAGGAAGGUUGGGGAGCCCAAUAAGGAGGAAAAUGUAACUCUUGGACCUGAGGUGGAGAGAACUUUUUUGGAGUUGAUACUCAUAUUUAUGCAUCCACUCUUUGAGUGAUCCCUUCAUUUUUGUGAUGGACUUGCAAAU